rnacentral:rRNA from 1 species
UUAUGCUAAUAAGAGCGUAUGGUGGAUGCCUUGGCACUAAGAGCCGAUGAAAGACGUGAUAAGCUGCGAAAAGCUUCGGGGAGGAGCAAAUAUCCUGAGAUCCGGAGAUAUCUGAAUGGGGAAACCUACUUGAGAAGACCUCAAGUAUCCACAGCCCAAUCCAUAAGCUGUGGAAGGGAACCCGGUGAACUGAAACAUCUAAGUAGCCGGAGGAAGAGAAAACAACAUGUGAUUCCGUAAGUAGCGGCGAGCGAACGCGGAAGAGCCCAAACCGGAGUGCGUGCACUCCGGGGUUCGGACUGCAGGAUUGACGAGUGAGCCUAGUAGAAUGGUUUUGGGAAAGCCAGCCAGAGAGGGUGAAAGCCCCGUACACGAAAGGCAAGCGAGCAUGGCAGGAUCCAGAGUACCACGAGACACGUGAAACCUUGUGGGAAUGAGCGGGGACCACCCCGUAAGGCUAAAUACUCCUUAGUGACCGAUAGCGCAUAGUACUGUGAAGGAAAGGUGAAAAGGACCCCGGGAGGGGAGUGAAAGAGAACCUGAAACCAUAUGUUUACAAGCUGUGGAACAUCUUUAUAUGAUGAACCGCGUACUUUUUGUAGAACGGUCCGGCGAGUUACGCUGGCUGGCGAGGUUAAGGGCUGAAGGCCUGGAGCCGAAGGGAAACCGAGUCUGAACAGGGCGAAAUAGUCAGUCGGAGUAGACCCGAAACCGGGUGAUCUAUCCAUGUCCAGGUUGAAGUUGCCGUAAAAGGCAAUGGAGGACCGAACCCACAUCCGUUGAAAAGGGUGGGGAUGAGGUGUGGAUAGGGGAGAAAUUCCAAUCGAACCCGGAGAUAGCUGGUUCUCCUCGAAAUAGCUUUAGGGCUAGCCUCAUGCAAGUCUUACGGAGGUAGAGCACUGAAUUCCUAAGGGGGCGUCAAAGCUUACCAAGGGAUAUCAAACUCCGAAUGCCGUGUAGAUGGUGCAUGGGAGUCAGACUAUCCGAGAUAAGUUGGGUAGUCAAAAGGGAAAGAGCCCAGACCUACAGCUAAGGUCCCAAAAUGUGUGUUAAGUGGAAAAGGAUGUGGGAUUUCGAAGACAACUAGGAUGUUGGCUUAGAAGCAGCCAUCCAUUAAAAGAGUGCGUAAUAGCUCACUAGUCGAGAGGUCCUGCGCCGAAAAUGUCCGGGGCUGAAACACACUACCGAAGCUUGGGAAUUGACGAAUGUUAAUUGGUAGAGGAGCAUUCUUAACGGGGCGAAGCUGUACCGGAAGGAGCAGUGGACUGUUAAGAAGAGAGAAUGCCGGAAUGAGUAGCGAGAGGAAGGUGAGAAUCCUUCCGGCCGAAUAUCUAAGGUUUCCAGAGUAAAGCUGAUCUGCUCUGGGUAAGUCGGGGCCUAAGGCGAGGUCGAAAGACGUAGUCGAUGGAUAACAGGUAAAGAUUCCUGUACUGUAUCAUAACAGAACUGUGGGGACGCAGACAGAGAGCAUAAGCCGGGAAUGGAAAGACCGGUACAAGCGAGGUAGGAGUGCAUCAGGCAAAUCCGGUGCACAAUCUGAAGACGUGAUGUGGGGCGUAAAGCCGGAAGUAUGUGAGCUGGCUGCCAAGAAAAGCCGCUAUUGUUUAUGAUAUACCCGUACCGUAAACCGACACAGGUGGAUGAGGAGAGAAUCCUAAGGCCGACGGGAGAAGCAUUGUUAAGGAACUCGGCAAAAUGACCCCGUAACUUCGGGAGAAGGGGUGCUCUUAGAAAUAAGAGCCGCAGAGAAUUGGCCCAAGCAACUGUUUAGCAAAAACACAGGUCUAUGCAAAACCGAAAGGUGAGGUAUAUGGGCUGACGCCUGCCCGGUGCUGGAAGGUUAAGGGGAGAGGUUAGCCGUAAGGCGAAGCUUUGAACUUAAGCCCCAGUAAACGGCGGCCGUAACUAUAACGGUCCUAAGGUAGCGAAAUUCCUUGUCGGGUAAGUUCC